GAAAGAAAGACCAGAGUACUGCUCCAUCACUUUAUUCAGUGCUAGGGAUUGAUCUCAAGACUCACACAUGAAAGUCAUGAACUUUAAAGCUGGGACAAGCCCUUAAUCCAUGUGAUGCUUUGUAAACUGUGGGUCAAUUUCUAGUUCUGGAUGCCCAUUUUAAUUCUUCAGCAACCAUUCCUGCUUCUUCUGGGUUCAAGACUCUGUCUCCAGCAUCAUGAUCUAAACAAACAAAUUUAAGAGAUCUCUCAAAAACAGACAAAGGAAAGAAUGGGUAUGAAUUUUAGAGGCAUCUUGCACAUGAAGAACUAAGAACUUUGAGUCCAUGGAGCAAAAUCUAGGUCUUGGUACUCCCUACAAACACAGGAGUGCUCUGGAUCUCUGUUGUCCUUCCAUGCCUGUCCUCUGCUGGCAGUGUCAUUGGUGAGUCACAUUUCUGACCAAAAGAAGCUAACACAAGAGAAUAUCCCGACCUCCAGGGAAGCUCCUGUGACUUGGGAUGAAAUGUGUGCAAAUCUACUCUUGGUUAGUACCCCCUAGUGAUAGCAGCGUUCUGCUCUCUGAAUAUAUUCUAGAGUGGUGCUGUGGCAUCUCUCCUCUCUCUUUCUCUCUCCCUGUCUCUCACCCUCUAUAUAAAAAAAGAAAAAGUGUGGAAUUGUGCAGGUAUGAAGCCUUAGUGAAAAAGCCCUGGCAAGGUUUAAAAAAAAAAAAAAAAAGGUAA